rnacentral:lncRNA from 10 species
AUGCGCGGGAUCCCGGAUGUGGAUCAAGUUGGUGGGAAGCGUGCGGUGCCGCAGCAAUGGCGGCGCUCACAAUUGCCACGGGUACUGGCAAUUGGUUUUCGGCUUUGGCGCUCGGGGUGACUCUUCUCAAAUGCCUUCUCAUCCCCACAUAGCCUUGCUGUUGACUGAGAUACAAUAAUAAAGUUAGGCCAAUUAAUAGCCCUACAGUGGCAUCUAAGUGUUCAAGUGAGAGGAAGAGUCACAUAUCUCUGACUUUAAAUCAAAAGCUAGAAAUGAUUGAGCUUGAUGAGGAAGGCAUCCUGAAAGCCAAGACGGGCUGAAAGCUAGGCCCAUUGUGCCAAACAGCCAAGUUGUGAGUGCAGAGGAAAAGUUCUUGAAGGAAACUAAAAGUGCUACUCCAGUGAAUACACAAGUGAUAAGAAAGUGAAACAACCUUGAUGAUAUGGAGAAUGUUUUAGUGGUCUGGAUAGAUCAAACCAGCCAUAACAUUCCCUUAAGCCAAAACCUUAUCCAGAGCAAGGCCCUAAGUCUUCAAUUCUUUGAAGCCUAAGAGAGGGUCUCACUCUGCCUCUCAGGCUGUAGUGCAGUAGCAUGAUCUCAUCUCACUGCAACCU